rnacentral:lncRNA from 1 species
GAUCACAAAUGUUGAAUCUAUCUUAUACCUUGAAUAAUGUAUAAAAAUUUGAUUGUCAGACACUGUUACAGCUUAUAUGAUAACUAGGUUAGCCCGGGCCCAAAAAAUAUUAAGUGUUAUUUUAACAUUAUUUUCAAAUGUGACGCACCUUUGCAUAUAGUUAUGCUGUGUUAGUUUUGUCUAUGACGAUAGAAUUAUGACUUUGAUGGCUACUUGUAGUCACAUUCAAAUUUGAAUAAAAUCCAUCAAAAGCCAAACUAAAAUGAAACAAAUAAAAAAUAUAUACAAUGUGGGUGUCUGUCCCUAAUAGUUUUCAUGCUCUUAAUCUUUUUGCCUUACACUCGAGACAAUAAGCUGAUCUGGAAAAUGCAAAAGUUGAAUAAGUAUUAGUACAUAUGCAUAAUACAAAUUAUCAGACUGUGAAAAGUAGAAAGUAGCACCUACAUCACAUUCGGAUAUAUUAGGUUAGACGAUAGCUGCAUUAACAUGUCGUGAUUUAAUAAAAUAGUAACAAUAGCUUCACCAUUAGUAGAUUAAGAUUUUUCUAUAUAAUGGUAGAUCAAAGGCAUAAAAGGAACUGCAUUGUAGCACAGAAAGGAGAAAACAGGACAGUGAGCAGAUAUCAUUCAAAAAAGAACUUUAGAUAACUGUAGAGUUCAAAUGUGACAUGACGCAGUUCAAGAAUCACCUUAUUCCCUCAAUAAGUGAGAUCUAUGAGUAGCAAAAAUGUAUACCAAUUUCAAUUAAUCCCAGACACGAAGUAUGAGCUAGCCAAUUUGGGAGCCUCUUCUUCUUUGUUUCUGGAAGGAAGCAGCCUAAUAUGAUAACAUGUAAGAAGUGACUUAGUCAAUAUCUUCUUUGCUAAUUACUAAUAUUUCCUAUUCUUCAAGUUAUGUCUAUACUAACCGUAAAAAGGAGCAACAUGGGAAGCAAUUCCACACCUGAUAAAAUAGUAAUGGAACGUCAUGCGUCUUUCUCGCAGGAGAUGGUAGAAACUAUAUACAAUAUGCCACAACAUGCUUGUAAGUGAAACAAGUUUUUCCAACAUUCAUGUUACUGCAUAGUUAUCUACACAAGAUGUGAGAUAUUGUACUGCAGCGAACAACUGUGUUAAAAUAUGGUUUAAGCAGAAGCAUAACUACUACUCUACGACUCUAGUUACCAAAAGUAGUCGCAGAUGCCAAAGUUUUUACGCGAGCUUCAUUGAACUUGGGUUGUGUCUCUUGGCCUAAUAGUAUAAACAAUAGAUUCAGUAUGAGCGAAAAAUAAGACUUCAAAAUAUGUAGUUUCAAGUAUAAACAAUACAUUCAAUAUCCGCUUUCCUAUACUGAUUUCAAGAGUAAAAAUGUUCCAAAAAGCUUGAUGGUAAGAAAAGUUGGAGAAAAUAAAAAAUAUACCAUGAGCCUCAAUCAGGACAGAAAAUACAGAAAUGAAAACAUAUAACAAAAACAGCUAGAGUGGAUACAGUAUUUUAGUCAAAAAUGAUUGAGAAGCCACUACUAAAUGAAUAUCCUUUUUGUCACAUAUAAUUGUUGAUAGGCAUUUGUAGGACAAUUUUCAGAUGUUCUUUAACUUUUUUCUACAAUAAAAACUAAGGAAAAACUUAAAGGUAAAUACUAAUAUGAAUAGUCAGUUAACCAUUUGCUCCAACCUAAAAUUCAUAAGGUUCUUACAGUAAGAAAUUCACAGAGCUUAUGUAGCAAGGCCAGUGAAGAUAAAAUUGUAUAUAAUUUCACAAACAUUUGCAACCAAAUAUUUAUCCAAUUUGAAUAAUUUCUAGCCAGCAGAAAUUCCGAAAAUUAGGAAAAGAAGAAACCAAAACUUAUCUUAUAACUAUAAGCGAAGCAUAAAGAGCAAAGACAUAUAAUUUCAAGGAAUUUUUGGUCAGGCAAAUUAACUGGGAAUAAGAGCUCCGUAAGUUUAACCUAAUAAGUUAUAGCCUGUUUUUCACUGUACUAUUUAACACCAUAUUUCUUUUAAACCUUUGUCAAGAAAAAAAAACUCUCAAACUAUUUGAAAAGGAAUUCACAAAGUUAGUCUUUUCAGUUGGGAGGGGUAGAUGGCAUCUUAUUUCAAUAUCGUAAAAGCUUAAAAUCUUUUUAAUAAAGUAAAGAAUUUCAAAAACAAAAAUAUUCAAACACCUUUAGAAACAAACACCAUCACAUCCUCUGCAUUGCAGAAAUUGCUAUUGAAUCAUUGGCAAUAAUGAAGAAGCUUAUUAGCUGAACUAUGGCUAGUAAACACAACAUUCGAAUACUAAAUUUAUUUCCAGAGAUUAUUUCUGGUAGAAAAUGAAAAUUUUAAGCUGUAGUAAAACGGCGGCAACCCAAUUCAAACAAUUUCUACGCAACAACUAUUUCAAAAAGCAGGAAAAUAAGAAAGCCGAGAAAUUCAGCAAUACAAUUUGGAGGUUCACACAAGACAUGCCAACCAUCUCGAGUGACGUCUAAGUUUAUCUUCCAGUGUUAACGAUUUAUUAACUUUCGUGUGUCGACUGUCCUCAUAUAAGAAUGGAAAAAGACAGCUAUUGAGCAAGUCUACUACUCCAGCAACGAAAAACGUAACCUUAUUGUUAUUCAGUGAAAGUCUGCUCUAGCAAAGAGUAGUAACUAUACCAUCAAAACUGAAAAUUGACAAGCUAUAUAUGAAUGACUUUAUUAAUAAUACACAACUUUAACAAAAUAAUCACAGUAAUUCAAUUUUCCCUUUCGGUCUUGGAAUAACAUGCAUUCGAGAGUUUUAUUAUGAAAAACUUAUCAGUGCAUAAGCUACAAAUGUUGUGCAUUACCACCAAGCCUAAGAUGACAUAUGAAGAUAUAAUGAAAGGAUAAAAAUGUAAUACUGAAAUAAGGAUUGCUUAAGGAAACAGAUAACAGGGUAAACUUUUGAUGUUCUACCAAGAAGAAACUUAGAAAGAUAAAAUUAGUAAUCAAAAGCAUAACAAGAUCCAAUAAUGGUCAAGAUGGCAUUGUGAGGUACUCAAAGGAGGGCUGAAACAUAGAAAAAAUCAAGAAUGGUGCGAAUGCCAUAACAGAAGUGAUCAAAGAGGAGAAAUACAUCAGAAGAAUAUAACUGGUAAAUGAGAAAAAUGUGCUAGCAGUAGUCCAAAAGUAGAUAACAGCAGGACAUGGUCAACUACCAUAUCUAGACAUCAGAGAUAAAAUAAUUCAUAUUUUCACAGAGAAUUCUAUUGUUCCACCAAUUGGAGUUAUGAUUCUUUACCUUGUAAGCACGGAGAAUUUUUCCUUUUUCAGUUACAUUGACAAAGAUGUCUCACAAAAUGAUAUAAAGCCACUCGUUAAUAAUAUUAUCAGAGGUCAUGUAUUAGAUAUUUGGAGAUAACACUGUACCGUUUGCGAUCUUAUUAAAUUGAUUAAUCUACGCUAUAAUUAAGAGAGAAUGGAACAUGAUGUACCUUUAUGAUGCUAUCCAGAGCAAACAAUAAAAGCAACUUGCUUUUUCACUCCCAACACAAUCAUGAGGACCCUAAGAAAAUAACAUUUUGAGUAAUCUGCUUGUUACAAGUUUUAUAUGUAAAAUGAUAGGUCAACGUAGUCACAUUUAAGUAUAAAGAAACACGAAAUUCCGUGCUUCUUCAAGUUGAGCUAUUUGCAUUUGAUCACAUUGAAUGGUAAGACUUGAUUUUGGGACGUGGAUAAAUGAUACAUAAUGUGAGUAUGAAUGCAAGCUUAAUUAUAAUUUGGAGAAGAAAUUUAUAUUAUACAUUACAUAUUUAAGAUAAUAGUUCAUAGUAAAAUUCAAAAAUCAAACAACAGAGUGAAAAAUAAUUCUGACGAAGCAACCUCAUUGCUCCAAGCAACCUAAUUGGAUGCAGUUUGAAAACAAUGCAUAUAUGAGAAGAAAACGUCGAUGUAUAGUCUAUUUGAAAAACUUGUGUAUAACAGCAAGUUACAUUUCAUCAUCAUAUGUAGAAACUGCUAAAUAUGCUUUACCUGUGUGCGUCGACCUUAUUUUGGGAAUUCCGAAGUACAUGUGCCACAAACAAGAUCUGUAUUCUUGUGCUAAAACAUUAUGUCCAACUCUGUAACGUGUGAAAGAUUCACAAGAAGCCUUUUGAAUGAUUUCAUCAUAAACUAUGUUUAUGUUAUAUGUAGAAUGAUCGUCAUCACUAUCUGGGUUUGGGGGUCGAAUUAAUAACUUGACACAAUUGGAAGCUUUUGCUCUCUACAAUGCAACAUAAAGUUGACCAUGUGAAAACACUUGUUCUCGUAAAUAUAUUCCAACAAAAUCUAAUGUUUGACCUUGUGCUAUAUUUAUAGUCAUAGCAAAACAAAGUCUGUGAUGACAUCAAUGGUAUUCUCGGAAUGAACACAUGUGUAUUUUUAAAGUCACCGCUUACAAUUUUUGCACUUAUAACAUGUGUUUUAAAAUCACAACAUGUCAAUCUUGUGCCAUUGCAUAAACCUUCACAAGGAUUCAAAUUUCGUAGUAAUAUAAUUGGACAAUUUUCUUUCAAAGUUAAUCUGUAAGGAGGUAAACCAGCAGGAUUUAAAGAAUGCAAAAAAUCUUCAUACUGACUUUGAUCAUUCGAUUCACAUAUUUCAUCAAUUGCAACAAAUGUUUUAUCUUCUUUUGGAAAUUUGCCUAUAAGCAUAUCAUUUAUUUCAUCCACAAAAUCAUCUUUCGUCAAAAUAACACGAGAAGUCAUAGAAGAUGCAUCACAGAAGAAAUCAUGCAUAUUAGGAAAUGUUAUUUCAAAUAAUACAUUCAAAGAUUCCUGUUCAGUAGUAUAAGGGACAAUAAAUGAAUUUGGAAUUUCAAUUUUGUUUUCAGAACUAAGAGGUUCUUUUCCAUUUCCUAUUCUCAUCAAAUAUUCACAAAAGACAGGAUCAGUUUUCGCACGCAUGUUUUCUGACAAUUGCAAUUUCUCAAGUCGGGGCCAAAUAUCAUAAUAUAAUAAACUCUCAUGAAUAAAAUCUUUUUUUUUUUCCGUUUCGAACUACUGGUAGAGUUUGUUUAAAAUCACCACCAAAGACAACAACUGUACCACCAAAAAGCACAUUAUUAUUCAAGAGAUCUUUCAAAAGUAGAUCAAAAGUUUCAAUUAUUUUCUUUUUUGCCAUUGAUACUUCAUCCCAUACAAUUAAUUUUGCAUCUCGAAUCAAACAGGCAAGCGAACUUUGUUUUCUAAUAUUGAAACUAAAGUUUUCAUCAAUGUCAAUGGGAAUUUUAAAACGCGAAUGAGCUGUACGGUCACCUGGAAGAAUCGAAGCCGCAACUCUAGAGGUUGUUGUUGCUAGAGCAAUAAAUCCUUUAGAUCGUACGGUAGCUAAUAAGGCACACUAUAAAAAAGUUUUACUUGUUCCUUUCGGACCGUCAACAAAAAAAACUCCUGCUCUGUUCGAAGAUAUUCUGUCUAUAAUCACAUUGUAUGCUAUCUGUAAUUCAUGUUCAACUUUUGUCGCAAUAAUAGCUCUUCUUCAGUAACGAUUAUGUUUCUUUCAAAGAAUAUUUCUCUUGCUUUUGGCAGCCUUUGAAGCCUUGAAAUUUUCAGGGAUAAAUUAUGCUCAUUAAUGUUAUGUCCCAUUGAAUGCAAGAUGUCAUUGAGACAGUCUAAAACUUUAUAUCGAACACUUUUUGUUUCGAUGUCUGGUAAAGUUUUGAAGUCUUCACAUAUAGAGUUCUCGAAUUUCUCCCAUAAUUCUCUUGGAUUAGCAGGAUCACAAUACACUAAUAAUGUAGCAAACAAAUGUCUCAAGAUGUAUGGUAUUUGAUAACUCUCAGCUUCUACCAUACAUUCAGCUAAAUUAUUGUCACAAUGAAGUAGUCCUCUUGAGCAGAUUCUCUAAAUGUAUUGCAACGUACUUCAUUUACAGUUAAUAGGUCUCCAUAUGAUUUUGAUCCUCUUAUAUUCAUUAAUAAUAAUCUCAAAUAAUAUCUUUCACUUUUCGUUGGAUGACAUGUUACAACACAUCCAAUGACAUUACCCUUUAUUCGACGUGUCCACAUUUUAUAUCGUACUGACCAUACAAAAUAUUGUGAAAAUUCUUUAUAUAGUAGAUUGAGCUUUAUUGCAUCUUUAUUUGUUUUGUUCAUAUCAAAAAAUUUUGUUAACAUUGUUUUUCUAACCAAAGGAUUAUUCAUAAUUGAGUUUACACUUGAAGCACUCCUAAAGGAAACAAAUUGUUGUCCUUCAAGAUGUAAUUGCAAAUGAUAAACAAUUGGUGUCAUUUCAUUAAUAGGGAAACCAAAUAAACGCCAUGUAGCUUCAGGUGGUGAUACUCAUCGAGCAGAUUGAUAUUCUUUUAUUUCAUCUACUUUAACAUGUGCGCCAUUGUCGUGUAUAUGAAAUACAGUUUUAUCAUGUCCUUUGCAAAUAUAUUUAAAAAUAUAUUUAACAGCUUUAAUAUCUGAACAAAUUUCCACAUUUAUGUGACAAUUGAAUUUUCCAAGUAAGAAUGGAUUAUAAGGAUGUCACGACCCUAACCCCGACCCCGGUCAUGAUGGCGCCUCUCGUAAAGACAAGGCCAGCCAGUUCAAUCCAACUCAACUUUUAAAGCAGUUAAUCAACAUAAAAAUAGUCUAAACAUGAUUUAAUGAUAAUAAGUAGCAGAGAUACAACCCGACACAGCCCUAACCGGGGUCUCACAAGUCACGAGCAUCUACUAGGGUAUAAAUACAACUGAAAGUCUGAAGUGUACAAAUACAGACUAAUGAAAUGAAGAGAGAGAAAAGUCUACCUUGCUAAACUCCGAUGACUCUGCCUCAGAUCAACCAAAACCCGAUACCGGGUGUAUAAAUACCUGAAUCUGCACACAAUGUACAGGGAGUAAAGUGAGUACUCGAAUUCAGUGAGUAACAAAUAUAAAUAAUGACUGAAAGUAAGAAAUCACGUAAAACACAAGGCAUUCCAUACUGAAGCAGUAAAAUCACUUAAAACAGUAAAACAGUGAAAAUUCAAGUGAAAGUCCCUUUCUCAACAAGUAAAACAAGUAAUUGACAGGUAAGUAAACAAAUAGAAAUUUGCCCCUCGGGCACAGUAUCAACAAAUCCACCCAUCGGGCAAUAUCUCAGAAUGGUACCAGCCCCUCGGGCUCAAAUCUCAGAACAAUACCAGCCCCUCGGGUUCAAUCUCACAUCACAAUGGGUACCCGCGCUCACUGGGGGUGUACAAACUCCNNNNNNNNNNNNNNNNNNNNNNNNNNNNNNNNNNNNNNNNNAUUUAUGUAUCUCAGACCCUCGGCCUCAUAUCAGUAUCGAUGUAUCCUCACAACUAGGUCCUCGGCCUUACUCAGUCCAAAAAUCAUCACAAGCCCCUCGGACAAUAGUAAAACAGUAUUUCUCAGCCCAAAAUAUCAUUUAAGUCUCAAAAUUGAGUAGUAAAAUAGUGGAAAAUAACAUGAUUAAGUUCAAGUAAUAAGUCAAAACAGUGAGGAAAUAGUAAUAAAAAUCCCCGAAGGGUUCAAAUAGUUGGCACAAAGCCCAAAUAUGGCAAUCAACCCAAAUCAUGAUGAUAGCAAAUACGUUUCAGUCAAAUACGCGGUAAAAUCAUCAAUCGAGACGGACCAAGUCACAAUUCCCAAUAACGCACGACCCCACGCUCGUCGUCAAGCAUGUGUCUCACCUCAAUAUAGCACUACGAUGUGCAAAUCCGGGGUUUCAAACCCUCAGAGCAUCAUUUACAAUCAUUACUCACCUCGAACCGCCUAAAUCUCUAACUCACGAUGCCUUUGCCCCUCGAAUCGGUCUUCACACGCGUCGAAUCUAUCCAAAAUCAUAACGAAUACGUCACAAUAUGCUAAGGGAAUAAAGCCCAAGCAAAAACAAUCAACAAAGGGCACGAUUCCCGAAAUUACCAAAACCUGAGCCCCGGGUCCACGUCUCGGAAUCGGGUAAAAUUUACAUUUUCAGAAUCUUCAUACCCUCACAAGUCUAACCAUACCAAAAUUAUCCAAUUCCGGUACCAUUUGGUCCUUCAAAUUAUCAUUUUAUAUUUUUGGAAGAUUCCACAACUUUUCUUCCCAAAUUCCAUCCCAAAUCACGAAUUAAAUGAUGAAUUCAAUGAUAAAUUCAUGUAUUCUAGCCUAAUCUCAGUUAGAAUCACUUACCCCAAUGUUCUUGAAAAACCUUCGAAAAAUCGCCAAAAUCCGAGUUCUCUAGGUCAAAAUAUUAAAUAAAACCCAAAACCUCAUAUUUAUAGAGUACCCCACAGAUUUCCACCUUUGCGGACUGCACAAAAACGACCGCGGUCCGCACAAAAAUGACUGCGGCCGCACAGGUUUUCAUCUGCAGUGAAAGGCUUUAGUAUUUUGGCCAUAACCUUCGCUACAGAUGUUCAAAUUGCGAUAUCUUUACCUUACUUGAAACUAGACACGAAGGGCUACAACUUUUGUUUUUUAAUCAUCUCAACAUUCCUUGUAUAUCAAAAGAUAUGAGCUUCCGAAAUAGGACCAGUGAAAUGUUCCCCACCGCGGCCGCACUUCAUUUUGUGCGGACCGCACUGGUGGGUUCUGAGGCCUCCAACCCUUCUGGACCUGCUACAGCUAUGAUUUUCGGCCUAAAACAUCCCAGAACCUACCCGGAACCCCUGGAACUUCAAACCAAUUGUACCAACACAUCCCAUGACAUCGUUCAAACUUGUUCAAAACUUCGAAACACACCAAACAACAUCAAAAUGCCAAAUUUGCAUCGGAUUCAAGCCUAAGAAUCCCGAAAUCUUUUAGAUUACGGUUUAGAUCAAAAACCCAACCAAAACACGUCCGAAUGUCCUGAAAUUUUACACACACAUCCCAAAUGACACAACGAAGCUACUGCAAUUCCGACCUCUAUAUCAAAAUCUCACCUAUCCACCGAAAAAUGCCAAAAUCUCAAUUUCGCCAAUUCAAGACUAAACCUUCCACGGACUUCCAAAAUGUAUUCCGAUCACGCUCCUAAGUCCCAAAUCACCUAACGGACCUAACCAAAUCAUAAAGAUUCCAAUCCGAGAUCAUAUACAAACAAGUCAAAUAUUGGUCAACCCUUUCAAAUCUCAAGCUUCAAACUAGGAACUGUUCUUUCAAGUUUAUUCCGAUUAUCCUGAAAACCAAAACCAACGAUUUAUAUAAGUCAUAUUUCAUUACACGGGGCAAGUCAUGCUCGAGAACUGGCGAGCAAAAUGCAAAAGCUCAAAAUGACCGGUCAGGUCGUUACAUCCUCCCCCACUUAAACAUGCGUUCGUCCUCGAACGUGCCUAGAGUUGUUCCCAAAGUCAACCAAUUGCUGAAUAACCUCACCAUGCACAUACCCGGGGGUGAUCCCACAUCACCCUAUCUCACAUAGGUUCGAUAACACAAUAUAAUUGAAAUUUCACAAUCCUUCCUAGUCCAUAAACCAUAGAACCACAUUUCCACUUCUAAAAUCAUCAACACGAUCAGAAUCUCACAUUUAUACUAUGAAUAAAUCCGAACAAGCUGUAACAAACCAUAUAUACUAUCUCCGGUACAAUCACAUGAUAUACCACAUAACUCCACACUUGUAGUGAUAACUUCUAACCACAACAACUGCACACAACAUCUGCAUACCGAUAGAAAAACUCUUAUCAACUAAAGUCUCAUCCCAACACUUUCAUAUACUGCCAAUGAUCAAUAAGACACGCGGUAAGCCAUAACCAUUUCCCAGAUCAACCAUUCAUGAAGCCACUUAUCCUUGGCAAAUACCACAUCAAAUUUCUGAACCGAAGCUUGAUACUAUCCUUCCAACAUGCUGAAAUCGCAUCCAUUCGUAUUUAUUAAUGAUCCCCAACGAUCUCCUCUAAUCCAACACAUUACUCUGGUGACAUGACACAUCCAUACAGGCCUAAGCCACAACUUGCACAAUACACGCACCAAUACACAACAGUCCGAACAUACUCAAAUCAUGAAAAUGGCUCAAAUAAAAGAGUUGUACCUCAGGUUCACCAGUACCACCACAACACAAGGCUGAGAACCCGUCUAACAUUAUAGGAACAAAACACACGAAUCUAACCCGCAAGGUCAUACCUCCACAUAACUUCGUUGCGAUUUGAGAUCCUAUCCAACACUGCUCCACAUGAACNNNNNNNNNNNNNNNNNNNNNGAACCACCUUAAGUCAUAUUGCUCGAAAUCGACAACCACGCACAAUUCGAUGUCUGGAACCAAAGAAAAUCAUCAUACCUACGAUGAAGCAAAUAACAUACACCACACUAACCCGAAAGGACAUAACCGAUACGCCAUUCACUGAGCAACACCCAAUCACUCUUCCUGCUCGACUUCCACUAUGAAACCCCAAUAGAACCGCACCAUAUGUGCCCAUAACCAACAAAUCAUAACAUCUCACAACAUAGAAAGGUAACUCAUGGAUCUCCCCAUAUUACUAAUAAGCUCAAUAACAAUCGAAUCAACACAUCCCUCAACAGUACAAUUCGGAGCCAACCAAGCCGACUCAGGUUAGAACACGCAUCCAUAUUGGCCUGCCAACGAACUCCUUAUCAAGGAAAUCCUGGAGCUGCUCCUUCCACCCCUUUAACUCUACCGGUGCCAUACGAUAUAGUGCCCGACAUCAACUUAAUACCGAAAUCAACAACCUUGCCCAGCGACAUGCCCGACCACAGGAAACACAUCCGAAAAGUCCCUCACCACCGGAACUGAAUCAAUAGUAGAAGCCUCUACAGUAACAUCCAUCACGAAAGCCCAAAUAAGAAAGACAAUCCUUCCCAGCCGUCCGCUGGGUCUUCGAAAUAUAAAACCACUCCACUAGGACAUAAUCCAUCGAACCUCGCCACUCAAUUCGUGACAUUUUCCAGCAUAGCCAACAGCGUCACAUUAGCGCAAUAGUCCAGAAUGACACCACACAGAGACAAACAAUCUGAACCCAAUAUCACAUCCAAAAUCUAACAUACCAAGCAACAAAAGAUCCGCUCGGGUCUCCAAAUCCCGAUAGUCACUAAACAGUGCCGAUACACACGACUCACAACCACCACAUAGCCUAAAUAUGAGAACUUCCCGUCUCCAACUCUAUAUAGUCCAUGAAUCAACAUAUCUGGUCCUAAUCCCGCCGUCCGAAUGAAUACCAUACCUCAAAUGCCCAAUCAUUCCACGAGAGAUAAUCUAGAAUUCCUCUGUGCCACCAAGCAAACUCGAAUAUUAGCAGUCGAGCUAACAAGAAAAAUGCCGCAAAACUACCGAAGUAUUAUCAACUUAAUCUCAUUGCCCUUUCUGAAACAUAUGCCCUCGUCAAAUCACCCCAAAUUAUCAAUACCAUUUCCUUAAUCAUCCAAAGACCCUUUCUCUAAUUAUCUGAAGCUCGUUCCUCUAAUUGUCUGAAACUUCCUGCCGCCUAAGAGUUUGUGACCUUCCUUUCAGAACCGAAUCGCAACCUUACACACGCGAUUCUCAAUCCUUAACAACAUACCGUAUAACCCGAACUAUCCUAGGAUAACCAUGAGAACUUCAUAUCCCUUCCAAACCAUAAGCAACUAUGCAUUCCACUAGCCAAGAACUUCCUAUUGAUCCCAUCUAGAAGAGAACCACUAUACAUCCCAUGCUCCUCACGCCAAUAGGAAAAAUAUACCUCUCUAACUGUGGUGGAAACUAUCUAGAACUCCCCGAAUUCCUUUUACACGACACUAACUCAUCAGGACUGAAUCCUUCUAACUCAACCGAGCUAUACAUGUCACUAAAACCCAAAAGAAUUGCUGCGAAACACCUGCAGAGACUCGUUACCUCGUAAUCACCCAAGGAACUAAUCAUAUCCUUACCAUACCGAUCUGGCCUACUACCAUGCUAUCCCAUCUAUCCGAGUUUCCUUCUGAUUUACGUUCAACUUGAUAUCCCCUCUUGCUGUGGCACCAUAGUUCCUCAACCCAGACUUACCACACGAGACCCAAGCAUAAAACCACACUGUCUAAGGCUCAUAAGCCGCUGAGUACUCUCUUAAAUGUUUCCAAAAGCACCACAUUCAAAAUACCUACCUCGAAGGGACUUCCUGCGAAUUUGGAACCAUUACCUUCCUAAUACUGAUAUAUAGAAUCCCAUAGUUAAUAUAGAAAGUACCACAAGUCCUGACAUCUUCCAAAUGAAAGCUCAGUUCCUAACCACAUAUAUAACUUUAAAAUACCCAAUUGUUACAUGUAGAAUCUUGAACACAUUAGAACUAUUCUCGAGAGUCAUUCACUCUAUUCAAGAUGCAAUUAGUCUGAUCAAAUGAACCGAACAACCCGUGCCUCAUUGGUACCCCGACACUGCAGAAUGAAACCUCAUCCCAAUACAACCAAGCAACUUCCUGCUCUAUGCAACGAGCAUUCUUGCCAAUAACAACUCAAGACAUCACGUGAUUCUCACACACCUAUGAAGCAUAAUAUAAUCUUCGUCAAAAUUUUCCUUUACCCGAGCCAUCCUCGGUCUCAACCUCCGUAGGCCAUAACCGAUUCACCCGAACGUCUCAAACCGGAAGCACAUAACCAUGCAAUCGCUUAAUCAAUAGCAGACUCCCCCACUUGGCUCAAAGGCAUAGACCAAAACACACACAAUAACUCAUAACACAUACUCUAUUGCUGCCACAAUACUUUAGUGAGAUUAAACUCAAACUUUCACAAGCUCGUGAAACACAGACCAUCUGGUACCUUGAAUCUUCUGCAAAUCUCACAUUCAUCCUUGCAACAGUCAAGCCCACUCUCUUAAGCGACUCAAAAUUCAAAUUUCAACAAUUAUAUUUCACUUGACCUUCUAAAAGACACAUAAGGAUCACACAACCUCGGAACACUUCGCAGGAGAUAACCCACCUGCCUUGUCUUCAACUAACAUUUCUGUAUACCUUCAACCGUCACAAACAUUAUGCAGUCACUUAGCCUUCCUGAGUCUGAACUCAUACCGCAACAUGAAAUUUACUUCACUCCCAACUUGGACACAUGAAAAGACUCUUCGCACACCCAUAAUUCGGGGCUAUACCUCAAAUCAAGAUAAAAAUCAAGCACCUAAUAGUCCUUCUAUCCUCCAGCAGACCCUCCUCAUCGCCUCCAAAUCAUAUGGAUACAUCUAGCAGUACUAACAUACUCAUCACAUAGCCAUGCAGCCGUCACUUCCACUAAUAGGGACACUACCGAACAUAUCAGUUCGAAGACACUUGCUCACACAAUCAGCACAUCUGAUAGAGAUCAUGUCUCGCCCCUUGAUUAGGGAAUCACAAGCCAUCAAUGCACAUCUGAUACUAAGCGCUCAUGCGCGCAUACGAACGCGUGGAAGGCAUUCAAGAGUUACUUUUCAAGCUGAUUCAAGGACGCACAAUUAGAAUUCAAGAAUGUGAAGUUUUCCUAAAGGUUCUGCAGCCUCUCGAGGAUAAAUACAGAUGUCUUUGUACCGAUCUGCGAGACUCUACUAAACCUGCUCAUGACUCGUGAUACCUAUGUAACCUAGGAUCUGAUACCAACUUGUGAGAACCCUAACCCCGAACCCGGUCGUGAUGGUGCCUUUCAUGAAGACAAGGCCAACCAGUUCAACCCAACUCAACUUUUAAAGCAGUUAAUCAACAUAAAAAUAGUCAAAACAUGAUUUAAUGAUAAUAAGUUGCAGAAAUACAACCCAACACAGCCCUAACCGGGGUGUCACAAGUCACGAGCAUCUACUAGGGUAUAAAUACAACUGAAAGUUUGAAGUGUACAAAUAUAGAAUAAUGAAAUGAAGAGAGAGAAAAUCAGUGUUGAGAACGCCGACAACUACCUUUCUAAACUCCGGUAACUCUGCCUCGGAUCAACCAAAACCCGCUACUGGGUGUAUAAAUACCUGAAUCUACACACAAGCUGCAGGGAGUAAAGUGAGUACUUGAACUCAGUGAGUAACAAAUAUAAAUAAUGACUGAAAGUAAGAAAUCACGUAAAACACAAGGCAUUCCAUACUGAAGCAGUAAAAUCACUUAAAACAGUAAAACAGUGAAAAUUCAAUUGAAAAUCCCUUUCUUAACAAGUAAAACAAGUAAUUGACAGGUAAGUAAACAAAUAGAAAUUUGCCCCUCGGGCACAGUAUCAACAAAUCCGCCCCUCGGGCGACAUCUCAAAACGGUACCAGCCCCUCGGGCUCAAAUCUCAGAACAAUACCAGCCCCUCGGGCUCAAUCUCACAUCACAAUGGGUACCCGCGCUCACUGGGGGUGUACAGACUCCGGGAGGGGCCCCUUACGGCCCAAAAGCAAUAUCAAACCAUCUCGUGGCAUCAGAUCUAGGCCCUCGGCCUCAUAUCAAUCAAGCCACCUUGUGGCAUAUUUAUGUAUCUCAGGCCCUCGGCCUCAUAUCAGUAUCAAUGUAUCCUCACAACUAGGUCCUCGGCUUUACUCAGUCCAAAAAUCAUCACAAGCCCCUCGGGCAAUAAAAAAAUAGUAUUUCUCAGCUCAAAACAUCAUUUAAAAAAAUCAUUUAAGUCAAAACUGAGUAAAAAUGGUUGAGUAGUAAAUUAGUGGAAAAUAAGAUGACUGAGUUCAAGUAAUAAGUCAAAACAGUGAGGAAAUAGCAACAAAAAUCCCUGAAGGGUUCAAAUAGUUGGCACAAAGCCCAAAUAUGGCAAUCAGCCCAAAUCUUGAUGACAACAAAUAAGUUUCAGUCAAAUACGCGGUAAAAUCAUCAAUCGGGAUGGACCAAGUCAUAAUCCCCAAUAGCGCACGACCCCAUGCUCAUCAUCAAGCGUGUGUCUCACCUCAAUAUAGCACUACGAUGCGCAAAUUCGGGGUUUCAA